GUCGAGCGAACAGACGAGGAGCUUGCUCCUCUGACGUUAGCGGCGGACGGGUGAGUAACACGUGGAUAACCUACCUAUAAGACUGGGAUAACUUCGGGAAACCGGAGCUAAUACCGGAUAAUAUAUUGAACCGCAUGGUUCAAUAGUGAAAGACGGUUUUGCUGUCACUUAUAGAUGGAUCCGCGCCGCAUUAGCUAGUUGGUAAGGUAACGGCUUACCAAGGCAACGAUGCGUAGCCGACCUGAGAGGGUGAUCGGCCACACUGGAACUGAGACACGGUCCAGACUCCUACGGGAGGCAGCAGUAGGGAAUCGUCCGCAAUGGGCGAAAGCUUGACGGAGCAACGCCGCGUGAGUGAUGAAGGUCUUCGGAUCGUAAAACUCUGUUAUUAGGGAAGAACAAAUGUGUAAGUAACUAUGCACGUCUUGACGGUACCUAAUCAGAAAGCCACGGCUAACUACGUGCCAGCAGCCGCGGUAAUACGUAGGUGGCAAGCGUUAUCCGGAAUUAUUGGGCGUAAAGCGCGCGUAGGCGGUUUUUUAAGUCUGAUGUGAAAGCCCACGGCUCAACCGUGGAGGGUCAUUGGAAACUGGAAAACUUGAGUGCAGAAGAGGAAAGUGGAAUUCCAUGUGUAGCGGUGAAAUGCGCAGAGAUAUGGAGGAACACCAGUGGCGAA
rnacentral:rRNA from 1 species